CAUGGUUCUGUGCGAUUUUUAUGAUGAAUCUGUUGAAAUGUUGAAGUUGAUUUUCUGGUGAUUUACAGAGAAAAUUUUAAAAUGAUUUUCUCUGCGUUUUCGGUUAUAGCAAUAAUAAUUCAUGCUUUGUGCGUUUCUGGUGAUUUUUAUGUUUACAGGAAAGCUAAAGUUCACAACAACAAUAAUUUUAAGACCGAGAGUGUAGAUGACUUACCUACGGCAACGAGGUUUUUUCCGGUUAUCAUUGUGCAACAAUAACAGCCUUCAAGUUUUUUUCAGUGGCCCGAUUUGUUUCACGAACAGAGAGAAAUAGCAACAACAAUAUUGAGGGUAAGAGUGAAAUUAACUUACCUACGGCGAGGAG